AUACGGAGGGUGCAAGCGUUAAUCGGAAUUACUGGGCGUAAAGCGCGCGUAGGCGGUUUGAUAAGUCGGAUGUGAAAUCCCCGGGCUCUACCUGGGAAUUGCAUUCGAUACUGGCAGGCUAGAGUGUGGUAGAGGGAAGUGGAAUUUCCGGUGUAGCGGUGAAAUGCGUAGAUAUCGGAAGGAACACCAGUGGCGAAGGCGGCUUCCUGGACCAACACUGACGCUGAGGUGCGAAAGCGUGGGGAGCAAACAGGAUUAGAAACCCUAGUAGUCC
rnacentral:rRNA from 1 species